rnacentral:rRNA from 1 species
ACAAUGAAGAGUUUGAUCCUGGCUCAGGAUGAACGCUAGCGGCAGGCCUAACACAUGCAAGCCGAGGGGCAUCGGGGCGUAGCAAUACGCUGCCGGCGACCGGCGGAAGGGUGCGUAACACGUGAGCAACAUUCCCGGAUCAGGGACAUAACCCGGAGAAAUCCGGACUAAUUUCCCAUGGUCCUCCAGGGGGGCAUCCCCCUGGAGGUAAAGACACGUCGGAUCCGGAUUGGCUCGCGGGACAUUAGCUUGACGGCGGGGUAACGGCCCACCGUGGCUACGAUGUCUAGGGGCUCUGAGAGGAGUGACCCCCACAUUGGAACUGAGACUCGGUCCAAACUCCUACGGGAGGCAGCAGUGAGGAAUAUUGGACAAUGGAUGGAAGUCUGAUCCAGCCAUGCCGCGUGAAGGAUAGAUGCCCUACGGGUUUUGAACUUCUUUUGUACGGGGGCAAUAAGGUCCACGCGUGGACCGAUGAGAGUACCGUACGAAUAAGCAUCGGCUAACUCCGUGCCAGCAGCCGCGGUAAUACGGAGGAUGCGAGCGUUAUCCGGAUUUAUUGGGUUUAAAGGGUGCGUAGGCGGCUU